rnacentral:rRNA from 1 species
GCUUAAAAUCCAAAGGACUUGACGGUGUCCCACCCACCUAGAGGAGCCUGUUCUUUAAUCGAUACCCCCCGCUUCACCUCACCAUUUUUUGCUUUUUCAGCCUGUAUACCUCCGUCGUAAACUUGCCCUGUGAAUGAAACAUAGCAAGUAUAAUGACCCCUCGUCAAUACGUCAGGUCAAGGUGCAGCCUAUGAAAUGGAAAGCAAUGGGCUACAAUUUCUAAUCUAGAACACACGAAUUACCACUUGAAAAUGUGGUCAUGAAGGUGGAUUUAGUAGUAAAGGGGAACAAUAGAGUCCCCUUAAACAAGGCCCUGGGACGUGUACAAACCGCCCGUCACCCUCUUCAAUAGCACAAAAAUGGAUACUUAACAAUUUAACCUGCGCCUUAGAAGAGGUAAGUCGUAACAUGGUAAGUGUACUGGAAAGUGCACUUGGAUCAACAAAGUGUAGCUUAACUAAAGCCCCUCGCUUACACCGAGAGAAUAUCUGUUAAACUCGGAUCAUUUUGAGCUGUAAAUCUA